UACGUACCGUACGAACGUUAUUCGGAAUUACUGGGCUUAAAGGGUUUGUAGGCGGCCUUGUAAGUCAGGUGUGAAAUCCCCCGGCUCAACUGGGGAACUGCACAGGAAACUAGCGGGCUUGAGUUCGGGAGAGGGAAGCGGAAUUCCGGGUGUAGCGGUGAAAUGCGUAGAUAUCCGGAGGAACACCGGUGGCGAAGGCGGCUUCCUGGACCGACACUGACGCUGAGGCGCGAAAGCUAGGGGAGCAAACGGG
rnacentral:rRNA from 1 species